GCAGGUUAGGGAGACAGGUACUGUAAAUAUACACUGUCUGGAGGAGCAGGUUAGGGAGACAGGUACUGUAAAUAUACACUGUCUAGAGGAGCAGGUUAGGGAGACCGGUACUGUAAAUAUACACUGUCUGGAGGAGCAGGUUAGGGAGACAGGUACUGUAAAUAUACACUGUCUGGAGGAGCAGGUUAGGGAGACAGGUACUGUAAAUAUACACUGUCUGGAGGAGCAGGUGAGAGAGACAGGUACUGUAAAUAUACACUGUCUAGAGGAGCAGGUUAGGG